GCUCUUUGACAUGGCAUGAUGAAUUUCUGCAAGCUCGGAAGUCAUCUGCUCUCUAUAAAACUACAUCUCAAUGAUGGAAGAAUAAAGAAGCAAAUUUGCCAACCAUCGUUUUUUGCCCAUCCUUAUGCCCACCCACCUAAUCGAAUGACAAAUGUCAUUUCUCUUAAGGGCCAAUUACAUAAAAGUCCACUUGGAGACAUUUUCUUCCAUUUAGAUCCACCCAAACAUUUUUACCCACAUAAGUCCACCCAAGCCUAAAUACAGUCUUAUAUUAGGUAUUAAAGUUCAACAAAAUUACAGACUGCCAUCCAACCAAAAAAUUAGAAUUUCUCUCUUAUAUUUACAAAAAUGCCACUAAUUUAAAAAGUCAACAACCACAAAUAGUCUUCAGUUGACCUCCGGCGAGGUCUCCGGCCGACCUCCGACGAACUUUCCGGCCAACCUCCGACGAACUUUUCGGCCGACCAUCUGUGAGGAUUCUAGCGACCACAAAACCUACUACCACUGACAACAAAAGAUACUACUACCGACAAAGAAAGCUACUACCACUGACAACAAAAGAUACUACCAAUAGCAAAAAGAAUUACUGCCACCAGCAAAGAAAGCUCCUACUGAUAGCAACAAAAGCUACUACCACCAGCAAAGAAAGCUACUACCACUGACAACAAAAUAUACUACCGAUAGUAAAAAACACUACUGCCAUCAGCAAAUAAAGCUACUACCGAUAGCAACAAAAACUACUACCCAUGGCAAAGAAAGCUACUACCGAUAGCAACAAAGCUACUACAGCCAGCAAAGAAAGCUACUACCACUGACAACAAAAGAUACUACCGAUAGCAAAAAAAGCUACUGCCACCAACAAAGAAAGCCACUACCGAUAGCAACAAAAGCUACUACCUAUGACAAAGAAAGCUACACCGCCACCAACAAAAAAUACUAUUGUCAGCAACAAAAAAAUACCACCGCCAGCAGCCAGAGAUACUACUACCACCAACAAAAGAUACUACUACAACCAAUAAAAGAUACUACCGAGCAUAUGAAAAGUUACUGUCACCAACAAAAAAGCUACUAUCAUCAGCUAUAAAAGAUACUACCGAGUAAAUGAAAAACUACUACGAGGUAGAACAAAAGCUACUGUCACCACCUAUAAAAGAUACUAUCGAACAUAUGAAAAACUACUACCAAGCAGAACAAAAGCUACUGUCACAAACAAAAAAAGCUACUAUCACCAACUAUAAAAGCUACCACCCCCAGCUACAAAAGUUACUACAGUGAGAUUUCCAAUGACCUCUGACGACGAAGUCACAAAAGAUAUUGUCGUUAGCAACAAAAGCUACUACCGCAAGUAACAAAAGCUACUACCAGCAUCAACAAAAACUAUUACCUCCAAACAAAGCCAAUAGCUAAUGUUUUCGGCAACAAAAUCUACUACCAAGCAUAAUGAAAGCUAUUACCAAUGUGUCAAAAAUAUACAGAACAGUCAUCUCCAAUAGGAGCGACAUUUUCGAAGCGGCGUCGUCCAAGACUUGUCAUCGAGUCAGCGGCGGCAUCCAAGCUGUGAGGAUCUCGAAUCGCCGGCGGAAGGCGAUCAUAGCCGUCAAGGACCAGACGAGCCACGAGGAUGAGCCGUCGAGCCAUAUGGUUUCAGAGAUCCAGUCGAGAUCAAAUCAGAAGUUGUCAUCGAUGGAAUUGGACGCAAUAGACUCGAGGUCAAGGUGCGUCGUCGUCGAUCCGGCGACGUCGAGGUCGAGGAGUCGUAGUCGAGCCGGUGGCGUCGAGGUCGAGGUCAAGGCUUCGUCGUCGAUCUGGCGACAUCGAGAUCGAGGCAUCGUCGAUCUGGCGACGUCGAGGUCGAGCCUGCUUCCUUGUCAUCUAUCAAGCGGCGCCGAGCUAUCGUUGUCGAGCUGGUGUUGGCCUGAGACACCGCCAUGGCCGGAUAUUCGAGACCGGAGAAGAGAGGGAGGAGGAAGACGAUGAGCCAGAGAGAGAGAGAGAGAGAGAGAGAGAGAGAGAGAGAGAGAGAGAGAGAGAGAGAGAGAGAGAGAG
rnacentral:lncRNA from 1 species